UGGGGAAUAUUGGACAAUGGGCGCAAGCCUGAUCCAGCCACGCCGCGUGAGUGAUGAAGGCCUUCGGGUCGUAAAGCUCUGUGGGGAGGGACGAACCGCCGGUGGUUAAUACCUGCCGGCAUGACGGUACCUCCUUAGCAAGCACCGGCUAACUUCGUGCCAGCAGCCGCGGUAAUACGAAGGGUGCAAACGUUGCUCGGAAUCAUUGGGCGUAAAGCGCACGUAGGCGGCUUCAAAAGUCGGAUGUGAAAUCCCUCGGCUCAACCGAGGACGUGCAUCCGAAACUGCGGAGCUUGAGUAUGGAAGAGGGUCGCGGAAUCCCCGGUGUAGAGGUGAAAUUCGUAGAUAUCGGGGGGAACACCAGUGGCGAAGGCGGCGACCUGGGCCAAUACUGACGCUGAGGUGCGAAAGCGUGGGGAGCAAACAG
rnacentral:rRNA from 1 species